AUUGAACGCUGGCGGCAUGUUUUACACAUGCAAGUCGAACGGUAACAGCACUUCGGUGGCUGACGAGUGGCGAACGGGUGAGUAAUACAUCGGAACGUGCCUAGUAGUGGGGGAUAACUACUCGAAAGAGUAGCUAAUACCGCAUGAGAUCUAAGGAUGAAAGCAGGGGACCUUCGGGCCUUGCGCUACUAGAGCGGCUGAUGGCAGAUUAGGUAGUUGGUGGGAUAAAAGCUUACCAAGCCGACGAUCUGUAGCUGGUCUGAGAGGAUGACCAGCCACACUGGAACUGAGACACGGCCCAGACUCCUACGGGAGGCAGCAGUGGGGAAUUUUGGACAAUGGGCGCAAGCCUGAUCCAGCAAUGCCGCGUGCAGGAUGAAGGCCUUCGGGUUGUAAACUGCUUUUGUACGGAACGAAAAGCCCUCUUCUAAUACAGGAGGGUCAUGACGGUACCGUAAGAAUAAGCACCGGCUAACUACGUG
rnacentral:rRNA from 1 species